rnacentral:rRNA from 1 species
UACAGAGGUCUCAAGCGUUGUUCGGAUUCAUUGGGCGUAAAGGGUGUGUAGGUGGCGCCGUAAGUCGGGUGUGAAAUUUCGGAGCUUAACUCCGAAACUGCAUUCGAUACUGCGGUGCUUGAGGACUGGAGAGGAGACUGGAAUUCAUGGUGUAGCAGUGAAAUGCGUAGAGAUCAUGAGGAAGAACAGUGGCGAAGGCGGGUCUCUGGACAGUUCCUGACACUGAGGCACGAAGGCCAGGGGAGCAAACGGG